GGCUAUGUAUGGAGACGGCAUCUUCGGAUGCAUGACCUUUCCCGUGCUUUUUAGAACAUAGAUCGGAUCAGUCAGAUCACGAUCGAAACGCAAUACGUCGAGUAUGGGUCUGGUUGUCCUUCGAGCGUCAAGCGCGAGGGGCGUUUAGCCAUAUCCGGCUCAGAUAAGGCGAGAGCCGCCGUCCACGUUUCUCUUUCUCACAAGGAUACGAACCACGCCGCAUCAUGUUGCGUGCUUAACGAAUGGGCCCGUAGCUCAGGUGGUUAGAGCGCACGCCUGAUAAGCGUGAGGUCGGCAGUUCGAGUCUGCCCGGGCCCACCAUUCGCUCUGCGAAUGUGUCCUGACGCUGUCGCGAUCUAAAGAUCGCUUCGCUCCGGACGGGCCGCCGAACGAUCGGCGACGGGCUUUGCCCUUGCGGCGCUUGUUGCGCCGACAGGCAUGCUUGACAUGUUCACCGAAGCCGGCGUCGCCGGUCAUCGAAAGAUGGGGCUGUAGCUCAGCUGGGAGAGCACCUGCUUUGCAAGCAGGGGGUCAGCGGUUCGAUCCCGCUCAGCUCCACCAUUCGAUUGGUGUUGAACUGGCGGUAAUUAUCCUUGAAGAAAAGUAUGCUUGCAUCGUCUUUAUGAGACGGAUGCCUGUUCUGCAGAGAUUGUAAAAAAAAGAUAUGUCAGGUAGCUUGCAGGUGAUGAGGUGAUCGGAUGGCUGGAGGAAGACGUACCCCACCCACCCACGAACCAUCGAUGGAUGGACUCACCGACCGUAAUUGAAGGAGUGGUGGGAGGUAGGGAAGGAAUGUUCGUCGAAUGGAAGCAUGGUUGUUGUGGGGGCGGUCCUUAGGCCCACCUUGUGGUUCUUUGUUUUCAUGGGUGAUGUCUGCACGCCGCCCASCCGAGAGAAGUUCUGGAGGAGGUCUCUUAAAAAAAGCGGCUAUA
rnacentral:misc_RNA from 1 species